rnacentral:rRNA from 1 species
GAGGCGAAGGAGCAAUCCGGAGCGAACCCCAAAAAUAACGUCUCAGUUCGGACUGUGGUCUGCAACCCGACCACACGAAGCUGGAAUCGCUAGUAAUCGCGAAUCAGAAUGUCGCGGUGAAUACGUUCCCGGGUCUUGUACACACCGCCCGUCACACCAUGGGAGUCAGCAACGCCCGAAGUCAGUGACCUAACCGAAAGGAAGGAGCUGCCGAAGGCGGGGCCGGUAACUGGGGUGAAGUCGUAACAAGGUAUC